CAGCAGAGAAAGAAGUGUGGAAGACGGAACCUCCUUCCAAUCCUAGGGGCUCCUGGAAGAGUUGAACCCAGCUGGAAAAAAAGCCCAAAGGAAGCACCAGCUCCAGCUUAAUUCAAAGCGACUCUCCCCAUGUGGCCCCUAGAGGGCGCCC
rnacentral:lncRNA from 1 species